rnacentral:rRNA from 1 species
UGGUGCACGCCGCGUGGAGGAUGACGGUCUUAGGAUUGUAAACUCCUGUCAUCUGGGAGAAAGACCUGGCGAUUAAUAGUCGACAGGGUUGAUAGUACCAGAAGAGGAAGGGACGGCUAACUUCGUGCCAGCAGCCGCGGUAAUACGAAGGUCCCGAGCGUUAUUCGGAAUCACUGGGCGUAAAGGGAGCGUAGGCGGCGCGGUAAGUCGGAUGUGAAAUCCCGGGGCUCAACCCCGGAACUGCAUCUGAUACUGCCGUGCUAGAGUAAUGGAGGGGUAGCUGGAAUUCUCGGUGUAGCAGUGAAAUGCGUAGAUAUCGAGAGGAACACUCGUGGCGAAAGCGAGCUACUGGACAUUUACUGACGCUGAGGCUCGAAGGCUAGGGGAGCGAAAGGGAUUAGAUACCCCUGUAGUCCUAGCAGUAAACGGUGCACGCUUGGUGUGAGGGGAAUCGACCCCCCUUGUGCCGGAGCUAACGCGUUAAGCGUGCCGCCUGGGAAGUACGGUCGCAAGACUAAAACUCAAAGAAAUUGACGGGGACCCGCACAAGCGGUGGAGUAUGUGGCUUAAUUCGAUGCAACGCGA